UGGGGAAUCUUGCGCAAUGGGCGAAAGCCUGACGCAGCAACGCCGCGUGGAGGAUGAAGGCCCUUGGGUUGUAAACUCCUGUCGGCUGGGAAGAAAUCGUUCGCGGUUAAUACCCGCGGACGUUGACUGUACCAGCAAAGGAAGCCCCGGCUAACUCUGUGCCAGCAGCCGCGGUAAUACAGAGGGGGCCAGCGUUAUUCGGAAUUAUUGGGCGUAAAGGGCGCGUAGGCGGCCAUGCGUGUCUUCCGUGAAAUCCCUCGGCUCAACCGAGGACGUGCGGAAGAAACUGCAAGGCUCGAGUCCAGAAGAGGGGGGCGGAAUUCCCAGUGUAGCGGUGAAAUGCGUAGAUAUUGGGAGGAACACCGGUGGCGAAGGCGGCCCCCUGGGCUGGUACUGACGCUGAUGCGCGAAAGCGUGGGUAGCAAACGGGAUUAGAUACCCCGGUAGUCCACGCCGUAAACGAUGGGCACUUGGUGUCGCGGGUAUCGACCCUGCGGUGCCGAAGCUAACGCAUU
rnacentral:rRNA from 1 species